GUCAAGCCGAUUCGGAAGACAGGAACGGACAAGCUCGAGCGAAGGUCAGGUAAAGCACACGGCUUAGAAACUCGGGGAGCGGCUUUUAGGAGCAGCUCAGCGUCUUGGUUUAUGGCACGUCACUGCUGGUGCUACCCUGCUGGACAAAGUCAGGCCCGUGCUUCAAAUUUUGUGGGCGAUACUCUGCCACCGUCCUGUUCCCGACCAUCAGCGGCUACCUCAUUUACGCCGAUUACUCGCGCACCCAACGGUGGAAAAAAAGCAAGGCUAUCUCUGAGUGAGCGGCAAGGACGCAGUAACGAUUCAGGAUGACACUGCUGGCAACGUUGUUGCGCAGAUCAAAGUACUUCGUCGCUAUCCCCAUGUUGACUGUCGCUGGUGCCAUCGGAUGGUAUGUUGACCACGAGACAACCUAAGCCUGACCAGGUUUCGGGGGAAAAGCAAGCUCUACGGCCGGGAUUAUGCGCCAGGCGAGAAGCCUCCGUGGCCAUGAAAGAAAACAUCCAUACUUGAAUAAACCUGAAAUCUGUAGUUAAAA